GCAAGACUCGCGCAGACGUCAGCUGUCCCAGACGACGCCUUACACCUCAAAUGAUCCGGCGGAACCUGGUCAGACGAACCAGAACGCGCAUCGAGGCCCAUUAACGACCCGUUCAGACUCGGUCCUUCACGCCACGCCAACACCAAUGUCAGACGCUACCAGAAGAACGAGUUUGCUCCCUGCAAGCGGACACAUCAGGAAACAGUAAGCUUCCCUAUAAAUACCCCCGCAUUCCAAACGGAAAGGAGAGGGACGAACAUAGAUAACAAACUCCACUCCACAUCACUAACUUGAUCGUCGGAGGGGUCGGGCCGAGCUUCCGACCCGACCUAUGUGCAGGUAAGGAGACGAAGCUAUUUCCCCGGAACACAAGGAGAGGACGCCUUCCCCCUGGGACAUCCCGACGAACCCA
rnacentral:lncRNA from 1 species